UCUGUGGCUCAGUUGGUAGAGCAACGCAUUCGUAAUGCGUGGGUCGUGGGUUCGAAUCCCAUCG
rnacentral:tRNA from 1 species